rnacentral:lncRNA from 1 species
AUGGCACUCUAUGGGUUCUCUGGGCUGCCUGGUCUGGUGGUUGGCGGCCCUGCACACAGCAGGGGGUUGGAACUGAUGAACUUUGAGGUCCUUUUCAACCCAGGCCACCCUAUGUUCCCCUGUGAGGAGCUGGGAUGGCACUGGUGUCAGCGUGCCAACCCGAUGGGAAGCACACGGCGCCGGCAGGGCUGCUGCCAUCAGCCUGGGGAGCACCCAGAACUGCUGCACUGCCGUGUGGCUUCUGGUAGGAAAGCUCUUCUCAUUGCACAAAGUGUAGGGAGCAGCUUCUGGAGGAGGGCUCUCAGCACCCAAAGGGGAUGGGCUCCUCUGCAAGGGGGAACGGCGUCAGGCGGAGCCGUGGGAGGUCCAGGUUGGGGGCAAGGGAGCAUCCCACGGCACAGGCGGUGCUGCGGUGGGUUGUGCCAUCGCUGGGCUCUGCAAGCAGCCCUGGAGCAGCCUGAGCCAGCAGGGAGUUGGAAAUACAGCCCUCAAAUGUCCCUUCUGACUCACAGACGUUAUGCCCAUCACCGCUUUGUUACGUCCAUUGCUGCCCAUCACUGCUUGUUAUGCCCAUCACUGCCUCGUUAUGCCCAUCACUGCUUCAUUGUGCCCAUCACUGCUUCAUUGUGCCCAUCACUGCCUCGUUAUGCCCAUCACUGCCUCGUUAUGCCCAUCACUGCUUCGUUAUGCCCAUCGCUGCCUCGUUAUGCCCUUCACUGCCUCCUUAUGCCCUUCGCUGCCUCGUUAUGCCCAUAGCUGCCUCCUUAUGCCCUUCACUGCCUCAUUAUGUCAAUUGCUGCCCAUCACUGCCUCCUUAUGCCCAUCACUGCCUCAUUAUGUCCAUUGCUGCCCAUCACUGCCUCCUUACGCCCAUCACUGCCUCCUUAUGCCCAUCACUGCCUCCUUAUGUCCACUGCUGCCCAUCACUGCCUCCUUACGCCCAUCACUGCCUCGUUAUGCCCAUCACUGCCUCCUUAUGCCCAACACUGCUUCAUUGUGCCCAUCACUGCCCCAUUAUGUCCAUUGCUGCCCAUCACUGCCUCCUUACGCCCAUCACUGCCUUGUUAUGCCCAUCACUGCCUCCUUAUGUCCACUGCUACCCAUCACUGCUUGUUAUGCCCAUCACUGCCUCAUUCUGCCCAUCACUGCCUCAUUACGUCCAUUGCUGCCCAUCACCACCUCGUUAUGCCCAUCACUGCUUCGUUAUGCCCAUCACCGCUUCAUUAUGCCCAUUGCUGCCCAUCACUGCCUCGUUAUGACCAUUACUGCUUGUUAUGUCCAUCAUUCCUCGUUAUGCCCAUCACUGCCUUGUUAUGCCCCUCACUGCCUCCUUAUGCUCAUCACUGCCUCAUUAUGUCCAUUGCUGCCCAUCACUGCCUCCUUAUGCCCCUCACUGCCUCGUUAUACCCAUCACUGCCUUGUUAUACUCAUCACUGCCUCCUUAUGCCCAUCACUGCCUCAUUAUGUCCAUUGCUGCCCAUCACUGCCUCCUUACGCCCAUCACUGCCUCCUUAUGCCCAUCGCUGCUUCAUUAUGUCCAUCACUGCCUCCUUAUGCCCAUCACUGCUUCAUUAUGCCCAUUGCUGCCUCCUUCUGCCCAUCACUGCCCACCACUGCUUCAUUGUGCCCAUCACUGCCUCCUUAUGCCCAUUGCUGCCCAUCACUGCCUCCUUAUGCCCAUCACUGCUUCAUUAUGCCCCUCACCACCUCGUUAUGCUCAUCACCGCGUCAUUAUGCCCAUCACUGCCUUGUUAUGUCCAUCACUGCUUCAUUAUGUCCACUCCUGCCCAUCACUGUUUCGUUAUGCCCCUCACUGCCUUGUUAUGCCCAUCACGGCUUCAUUAUGCCCAUCAGUGCCCCAUUAUGUCCAUUGCUGCCCAUCACUGCCUCCUCAUGCCCAUCACUGCCUCGUUAUGCCCAUCACUGCUUGUUAUGCCCAUCACUGCCUCGUUAUGCCCAUCACUGCUUGUUAUGCCCAUCGCUGCCUCCUUAUGCCCAUCACUGCCUCCUCAUGCCAAUCACUGCUCGUUAUGCCCAUCACUGCCCCAUUACGUCCAUUGCUGCCCAUCACUGCCUCCGCGCAGAGCAAAGCAGCCCCUUUUCGGAGAGCGACCCAAGUCCCGCGCCGUCCCACCCUCGCGGUUCUCCUUCUGCACCCCAAAGGAUUUCAGCGCAGGGAGGAGCACAAAGCACACAGAGGAGCCAGGGCCGCUCCGAGCCAAGGCUGCUGUGAGCCAGGGACACGGAGCGGCUCAUCCCGAGCCAAGGCUGCUGUGAGCCAGGGACACGGAGCGGCUCACCCCGAGCCGGGGCGGCCCCUCGUGCGCUCCUGGCUGCGCAGCGCAGCCCCGCACGGAGCGCAGCACAUCGCGCUCGCAGCACGUCGGCCUCGCACGCUCAGCACGGCCGCUAAGUGCUUCCACAUGGCGCCCGCAGGCUGCAGACGGAGGUCCGGCAGCACAGCACAGCAGCACGGCGGCUGCCAGCCCUCCCCGCCCGCCCUGAUGUUGUAAGCAGAAGCUGCUGACUCCAAACGGCCCCAGCGUCUCCUGCGGGGCAUUCCUUCAUCAGCAGAGGGCUUGCAGUGGGACAGGGAGGGGAUCGUUCCUACCAACUGCAGCAACUGCAGCACUGCACCCAGGGUGGGGGUCCCAGCACAAGAAGGACAGGGAGCUGUUGG